rnacentral:rRNA from 1 species
AUUGAACGCUGGCGGCAUGCCUUACACAUGCAAGUCGAACGGUAACAGGUCUUCGGAUGCUGACGAGUGGCGAACGAGUGAGUAAUACAUCGGAACGUGCCCGAUCGUGGGGGAUAACGGAGCGAAAGCUUUGCUAAUACCGCAUACGAUCUACGGAUGAAAGCAGGGGACCGCAAGGCCUUGCGCGGACGGAGCGGCCG